AUGAAAAAAAAGAAAGCAUUGCCUUCUUUACUAUAUCUUGUAUUUAUCGUACUUUUGCCUUGGGGGGUCUCUUCCUCAUUUAACAAAUGUCUGGAACUUUGGAUUAAGAAGUGGUGGAAUACCAGGCAAUCCGAAACUCUCUUAACUGAUAUUCAAGAGAAAAGGAUUCUAGAAAGAUUCAUAGAAUUAGAAGAACUUUCUCUCUUGGACGAGAUGAUAAAAGGGAAACUAAAGACACAUGUACAAAAACCUCCUACAGGAAUACACAAGGAAAUAAUACAAUGGGUCAAAAUAAAUAAUGAGGAUCAUCUCCAUACCAUUUUGCAUUUCUCGACAAAUAUAAUCUGUUUGGCUAUUCUAAGUGGUUCUUUUUUUCUGGGUAAAGAGGAACUUGUCAUUUUGAAUUCUUGGGUUCAGGACUUCUUCUAUAAUUUAAAUGACUCAAUAAAAGCUUUUUUUAUUCUUUUAGUUACUGAUUUUUUUGUUGGAUUUCACUCCACCCGUGGUUGGGAACUAGUAAUUCGUUGGGUCUACAACGAUUUUGGAUGGGCUCCUAACGAGCUUAUUUUCACUAUUUUUGUUUGUAGUUUUCCAGUAAUUCUAGAUACAUGUUUGAAAUUUUGGGUCUUUUUUUGUUUAAACCGUCUAUCUCCUUCGCUUGUAGUCAUUUAUCAUUCAAUUAGUGAAGCAUAA
rnacentral:rRNA from 1 species